AUCACCACAGCUGCUCCCUCUCAGGAUUCUUGAGACAGGACAGAAAAUCCCUCAAAUCUACCUUCCCUUUCUUCUUCCUACAGAUCCUGAUGGAAUCAAACUUCUCAUCGUGAGCCAGCUGUUGGUGAACAUUUUGCUAACUCAUACAGACUGGUUGCUCCACCUGCAAAAUGGACCUGCCCAAACCGAGACGCACCCUGAGAUCCCACUGAGCCAUCUGCGAGAAUAUGCUGCGAAGGGCGCCGUGGUGCGUGCACAGCUCCACCUGGCCUGGACAGUCGAAGAGGAAGUAGUGGCCGCGGAGUGGGUCCAGCUUGGCCCGCAGCCAGUCCAGGUUGGCUUCCAGGUACUCCAUGCAGUAAAGCAGGCCGCCGUUGGGUCCCAGCCUCAGCUCAUCCAUCACAUCACCCAGUCCCACUAGCUCGCCCACGUCCACAGCGCACUCGUAUGGCAGCCCUUCGUUGGCCGGGUCCAAGUUCACCACCGCCACGCGCCGGCCCAGCGCGCGCAGGAACUCACUCAUGCCCAGGCAGUAAGUGGUCUUUCCUGAACCCGGAGGGCCGAUCACCGCCUGCCCGAAGGCCGUGGCCGGAGCGGCUCCCGCCAUGGCGAGAACGUGGUCCGGAAACGAACAGAUGAACCCAACGGGAAAACAGGGUGGGCACCUGUACAGGAGAUGAAACUACGGGCGGGAGACCACCGACGUGCUCUCUGCAGGGAAUGAUGACCGCAACCCAGGGAACCCGCGCCGGGAAAGGGCAGCAAAGGGGGCCGGUACUGAAGGCACCAGCUCCCGACUUCCGGGCGGCGUCGGAAGCAGCGGGGCGGGGAGAGGAAGUCCCGCCCUAAGGCAGCGGCGCUACCAAGCUGGGCGUGGCCACACAGAAGGGACUUUCGCUGUGGGAGCGUGGGUCUGUCUUGGGGACUUGGCGAGCCGGACAGCACCAGUCUCGAUCCUCUGAUUUUUCCCCAGGCCCGGAUUAGAAGAGAAAAGCGA